rnacentral:tRNA from 1 species
CGACCACGGCAGGACUCGAACCUGCAACCCUCAGCUCCGGAAGCUGAUGCGCUAUCCAUUGCGCCACGCGGCC